rnacentral:rRNA from 1 species
GAUGAACGCUGGCUACAGGCUUAACACAUGCAAGUCGAGGGGAAACGACGGGGAAGCUUGCUUCCCCGGGCGUCGACCGGCGCACGGGUGAGUAACGCGUAUCCAACCUGCCUCUGACUGAGGGAUAACCCGUCGAAAGUCGGCCUAAUACCUCAUGGCAUCGUCUGCGGGCAUCCAACGACGAUUAAAGAUUUCAUCGGUCAGGGAUGGGGAUGCGUCUGAUUAGCUAGUUGGCGGGGUAACGGCCCACCAAGGCGACGAUCAGUAGGGGUUCUGAGAGGAAGGUCCCCCACAUGGGAACUGAGACACGGUCCAAACUCCUACGGGAGGCAGCAGUGAGGAAUAUUGGUCAAUGGGCGAGAGCCUGAACCAGCCAAGUAGCGUGCAGGAUGACGGCCCUAUGGGUUGUAAACUGCUUUUAUGCGGGGAUAAAGUGAGGGACGUGUCCUUCAUUGCAGGUACCGCAUGAAUAAGGACCGGCUAAUUCCGUG